UACGUAGGGUGCAAGCGUUGUCCGGAAUUAUUGGGCGUAAGAGCUCGUAGGCGGUUUGUCGCGUCUGCUGUGAAAACCCGAGGCUCAACCUCGGGCCUGCAGUGGGUACGGGCAGACUAGAGUGCGGUAGGGGAGAUUGGAAUUCCUGGUGUAGCGGUGGAAUGCGCAGAUAUCAGGAGGAACACCAAUGGCGAAGGCAGAUCUCUGGGCCGUAACUGACGCUGAGGAGCGAAAGCAUGGGGAGCGAACAGG
rnacentral:rRNA from 1 species